GGAAGGUCCGGGCGUUAUCCGGAUUUAUUGGGUUUAAAGGGAGCGUAGGCCGUCUGAUAAGCGUGUUGUGAAAUGUCGGGGCUCAACCUGGGCAUUGCAGCGCGAACUGUCCGACUUGAGUGCGCGGGAAGUAGGCGGAAUUCGUCGUGUAGCGGUGAAAUGCUUAGAUAUGACGAAGAACUCCGAUUGCGAAGGCAGCCUGCUGUAGCGCAACUGACGCUGAAGCUCGAAAGCGUGGGUAUCGAACAGGAUUAGAUACCCUGGUAGUCCACGCGGUAAACGAUGGAUGCUCGCUGUUUGCGUCUGACGUAAGCGGCCAAGCGAAAGCGUUAAGCAUCCCACCUGGGGAGUACGCCGGCAACGGUGAAACUCAAAGGAAUUGACGG
rnacentral:rRNA from 1 species